rnacentral:rRNA from 1 species
GAUGAACGCUAGCGGCAGGCUUAACACAUGCAAGUCGAGGGGUAACAGGAAGUGCUUGCACUUCGCUGACGACCGGCGCACGGGUGCGUAACGCGUAUGCAAUCUACCUUUUACUAGGGUAUAGCCCAGAGAAAUUUGGAUUAAUCCCCUAUAAUAUCAAAAUUCCGCAUGGUUUUUUGAUUAAAGCUUCGGUGGUAAAAGAUGAGCAUGCGUCCUAUUAGUUUGUAGGUGAGGUAACGGCUCACCUAGACUACGAUAGGUAGGGGCCCUGAGAGGGGGAUCCCCCACACUGGUACUGAGACACGGACCAGACUCCUACGGGAGGCAGCAGUGAGGAAUAUUGGACAAUGGACGAAAGUCUGAUCCAGCUAUGCCGCGUGCAGGAUGACAGCCCUACGGGUUGUAAACUGCUUUUAUACAGGAAGAAAAACUCCGACGUGUCGGGGCUUGACGGUACUGUAAGAAUAAGGAUCGGCUAACUCCGUGCCAGCCGCCGCAGUAAAAC